rnacentral:miRNA from 1 species
UAGUGAUGCAAUGUUAAACAUUGCAGUUACAGAGAAACUGCAAUGUUUACAUUGCAACUCUA